rnacentral:rRNA from 2 species
UAAGUCAGCCACGAAUAGGCUAUCCCAACUAACGGCGGGAAAGACUCCACGGAGGGUGUAAGACCCGUGUGGGCGCGUGUUAAAGCUGUGUGGGCUCGGCCUCCAUUCCCUGAGAGUCGCGUUGCUUGAGCAUGCAGCGCUAAGCAGGUCGUAAACUCGAUCUAAGGCUAAAUAUUUCCACAGAACCGAUAGCGAACAAGUACCGUGAGGGAAAGUUGAAAAGCACUCUGGAGAGAGAGUCAAAAGACCGUGAAACCGCUCAGAGUAUAAGCCCAUGGCAGCUUGGAAGGCAUAUCGCUAGCGGGGCAUCGGUCUCCCUUCGCGGGGAGCUGGUGUUACCUUGCUUCUGUUGUGGCUCGUCAUGGUAGGGGGGUCAGGUCCACAUCCCGCCGUCGUGUGGGGGGUUCUUGGGUGUGUUGUGGUUUCUCGGUUGGCUUCGGCUUUCCGGGGGGCUCUUCGUGCUCGGUUCCCUUUUAGACACGGACGUUCAGACUCAGUUGCAAGACGCGAUAACCAGCCCACCACGGCACGUUGUGAGGUCACCCACAGGCUCGACUUUCGAUCGUGGGCCUUGACGCCGAGCAAGCACAAUGCGUGUCGCAGAGGUUCCUAACCAGGCAAAGGUGCCAGGAUCGUGGAACGACACGCGCUCAACAGUCAGGUUCGGGCGGAGACAGAGUUCUGGUACGAUCCUCUUGCGACGAGCCGGCUUCUGGCCGACAUCCGAUGCUCAGGUCUCCCGCAUGUGCCGCGGGAGAUCGCUUUGACGGUCUGGA